rnacentral:rRNA from 1 species
ACGGGAGGCAGCAGUGGGGAAUAUUGGGCAAUGGGCGAAAGCCUGACCCAGCAACGCCGCGUGAAGGAAGAAGGUCUUCGGAUUGUAAACUUCUUUUAUGAGGGACGAAGGAAGUGACGGUACCUCAUGAAUAAGCCACGGCUAACUACGUGCCAGCAGCCGCGGUAAUACGUAGGUGGCGAGCGUUAUCCGGAUUUAUUGGGUCUAAAGGGUGCGUAGGCGGAUGAUUAAGUCUGUGGUGAAAGCGUGCGGCUCAACCGUACCGAGCCAUGGAAACUGGUUGUCUUGAGUGUAAACGAGGUAGGCGGAAUGUGACAUGUAGCGGUGAAAUGCUUAGAUAUGUCACAGAACUCCGAUUGCGAAGGCAGCUUACCAGCAUACAACUGACGCUGAGGCACGAAAGCGUGGGUAUCAAACAGGAUUAGAUACCCUGGUA